UUGACUCGCAGAAGGAAGGACCUGGCGGACAUGUUUAGGGGAAAUGCUUUGGGCAAAAGUGAUUGAAGAUCUCGAGAAACCAAAAGUGGGGAUUUCGAAAAAGGACAAUUAAGAGUAAUUUGUAUUUGCAGACUGAUUUCCAGGUUUGGAGUCAGCAAAAGAAUUUGUUAGCAAAUGUAAAACAUGGAACAGUUUCUCGCAUUUAAAUACUUAAGUUAAAAAUAUCUUUUAAUUACUUUUAAAGGGAAAUAACUAUGAAUAUUUGAAGGCGUUUGGAAGAGUUAUCAAGUUUCUGGUAUGCAUUGAUAGACGACACUCGUCUGUAGUGGGGGAUGGGCUGCAUGUCGCAGCUAGUUUAAUUGUAAAUUUAGUUGCUUUAAUUGUGUAUUUCAUAUAUUUGAAAGGCGACCUGUGGUAUUUGGUGCUUAGAUUGGCGAGACAUUGACGCAAGGCCUCAAACCGUCUCAAUGUUUGGUAUUUACUGGAAACGCGUUUACGUUAGCGACCGUUUUGUUAAUCUUGUUGUUUGGUAUACUUGUUUUUCAGAUAAAAGAUCAUACUUUAGGUUGUUAUGUGGAUGUCGGGUUGUGCUGUCGUUGCUUGCUGGAGCUGGUUAAUGUAGUGUAGCUACUAAAGUGAUCUGAGGACGCUGUUUUGUGUAAGCGCAUUUUACGUUGUAUCUAGGGGUAAAUACAUCUACUAACCAUCCAAGCUUCUGAGUUGGUUAUAGAAAAAAUAGUAUUUUGUUUAAUACAGCGAAGGCUAAAGAAGUGUGCUUGGGGAAUACAGCAUCGAUUUUUGAAAGUUAUAUUCGCCAGUAUAUACGCAUUGUUAGAAUCAAAUAUGGCGACUCGUCUUAAAAGACCAUUCGUUAUACAGUAAAAUGUGCUCGUUCUCGGACAAUUCAGCGUCCUUUCGCUCGCUUUCUACUUGGCCUGUUUGCCCGCGCUCGAUUUUUUUUUUUUUUUUUAACACAAUGACGCAACUCCUCUUCUGGGGCGGGAGCCCUGGGGGGCGCUCGUGACGGUGGAGCGCUAUUCGUGAGGUCGACGGGUUUAGUUGACAAUGGCUCUUUUGUUUGAUGGACAACCGAGGGGCGAAUUGCAUUGCCAAGAGUCGAUGUGGGUGGUGCUUGUUAAAGUUUGGGUGUGGCUUCCUUGAUCGACGAGGAGUUUGACGAAUCGCAUUUCUGGGAUCCGUGACACGUGGAGGAAACCAUGCAAUAGUGGAAUAGUUAGGUAUAUAAGCUUUUGGGCGGUGACGCAGCGGCGCCAUUUCGCUAAUAUUCAGGAGGAGUCCAGGAAGGAAGAAAUCGGAAAGAGGGAGAGAGAGGCAACCGAAAGAGAUCGGAUUUUAAUCAGAAUCCGGAUCCAUCCUGAUGGAGACGGCAUUAAACCCGUCCUUUGACAGGCUGGUGUCAGAUGGCAGCUGCUCUCUGGGUGGGGCUCUGGGUUUGCCGGGCAUCAGCGGGAUGGAGCAAGCUGCCUGUGGCCCCGGCAAGCGCAUCCGCAAGCCGUCACUGCUCUUCGAGGGUUUCGAGAGCCCGACGCUGCCCCACGCCCCGCCCUCCAUGCCGACGCCCCCCCCGCCCCCCUGUGAAGGACCCCGCUCGUCCGGGGCGGCAGACCAACCAGCUCCAGUUCCUGCAGAAGGCCAUGGUGAAGGUCUUGUGGAGGCAUCACUUUGCUUGGCCUUUUCACGAGCCGGUGGACGCCGUGCGGCUCAGCCUGCCGGAUUAUCACAAGAUCAUCAAGCAGCCAAUGGACAUGGGAAGCAUCAGGAAGCGGCUGGAGAACAACUACUACCGCAGCGCCAGCGAAUGUAUACAGGACUUUAACACCAUGUUUACCAACUGCUACAUCUACAAUAAGCCCACGGACGACAUAGUGCUAAUGGCACAGUCCUUGGAAAAGGUCUUCCUGCAGAAAGUGGCCCAGAUGCCCCAGGAGGAGAUAGAGCUGCCCCCCCCGAUGCCGCGGAGUAGACCAGGCAAGCCUGGGAAGGCCGGUAAAGGUCGCAAGGCGUCCGUCCUAGGGGGCAUGACGACAGUCCAUCAGGUGCCCGCGGUGUCCUCUCUGACCCAGUACUCACCCCCUACCCCCGACACCCCCGACUCGCUCCUGUCCACCCCCCCGCAGACCCUGCUGGCCAAGAGUCUGCCCCCCACUCCCCUCAGCACCCCUGCUUUGCUCGGACACCCUCCAACGCAGCCCACUGCCAAGAAGAAGGGAGUGAAGCGUAAAGCUGAUACCACCACCCCCACCACCAUCGCCCUCACCCCAGGGGUCCGAGUGGGCGGCAUGGGCAAGGGCAUGGGCCUGGCUGCCGUGGGAACGGACCCCAAGAGCGGCACAGUCCACCUGCAGCCGGCGGCGGUGUCGGGCAAGACCCCGGCGCGUCGACGGGAGGGGGGGCGGCCCAUCAAGCCGCCGCGGAAGGACCUGCCGGAUUCGCUGCAGCACCAGCCGUCGCGGCGCGGGAAGCUGAGCCAGCAGCUGCGCUACUGCAGCGGCGUGUUGAAGGAGCUGCUGUCCAAGAAGCACGCCGCCUACGCCUGGCCCUUCUACAAGCCCGUGGACGCCUCGGCCCUGGGCCUGCACGACUACCACGACAUCAUCAAGCACCCCAUGGACCUCAGCACCAUCAAGAGGAAGAUGGACUGCCGGGAGUACCGGGACGCCCAGCAGUUCGCGGCUGACGUCAGGCUCAUGUACUCCAACUGCUACAAGUACAACCCCCCCGACCAUGACGUGGUGUCCAUGGCCCGCAAGCUGCAGGACGUGUUCGAGUUCCGCUUCGCCAAGAUGCCGGAUGAACCGGUGGAGGAGGCCGCCCCUCUGUCCAUGGGGGGAGGAGUUGGUCUGUUGGGAGAGCGCUCGUCGUCCUCUUCCUCGUCUUCCUCCUCCUCUUCAUCCUCCUCCUCGUCAUCCUCCUCUUCGGAGAGCGAGCUCAGCAGCGAGAGCGAGAGCAGCCCCAGCUCGGACAGCGAGGAGGAGAGGGCGCAGCGGCUAGCCGAGCUGCAGGACCAGGUGUGUACGCAGCUGAGGGCGGUGCAUGAGCAGCUCGCCGCCCUCUCGCAGGGUCCCAUCUCCAAGCCCAAGAAGAAGAGGGAGAAGAAGGAGAGGAAGAAGAAGCGGAAACCGGAGAAGUACGGGGAGAAGCCCGCCAAGAUCCCUAAGAUAAAGGCCAGCAGGGCCGCCCCGACCUCCACCCUGGGCAAGAAGGGGGGUAGCAAAAAGAGCAGCAGGAACAAACCCUCAAAGAAGUCCAAGCCCGCAUCGGCAGCCCCCCACAUCCCCGUCCCUGUGGCUCCGCCCUCUCUGCUGCCCCACUACGACUCAGAGGAGGAGGAAGAGGGCCGGCCAAUGAGCUACGACGAGAAGCGGCAGCUGAGUCUGGACAUCAACAAGCUGCCGGGCGAGAAGCUGGGCCGCGUGGUUCACAUCAUCCAGUCCCGCGAGCCCUCGCUGCGCGACUCCAACCCCGAGGAGAUAGAGAUCGACUUCGAGACCCUGAAGCCCUCCACCCUGCGCGAGCUGGAGCGCUACGUCGUCACCUGUUUGCGUAAGAAGCCCCGCAAGCCCUACGUGAUAAAAAAGUCAGGAAGUGGGAAGUCACGGGAGGAGCUGGCUUUGGAGAAGAAGAAGGAGCUGGAGAGAAGGCUGCAGGACGUCAGCGGGCAGCUCAACUCCACCAAGAAGCCCCAGAAGACCAAGGCAGAGAAGCCCAGUGCAGUGGACCCCCACGCCAUGGUGUCACGUCUCAGUGCCAGCAGUUCAAGCUCAGACUCGUCUUCAUCCUCAUCCUCAUCCUCAUCUGACACGAGUGACUCUGACUCUGGCUGAACUGUGUAAAUGAGCAGGGCUGUGGCAGUAGAGGCUGGGCCCUGCAGGGUUUGGUCGUCCAGAAGGCUCAUUGGCCCAGACUGUGAUGGGAGCCAGUGGCUGGUGGCCCAGGAUGGAGGGGGAGGGAACAGCACGUCCUUCCCGACGGCAGUGACCCAGACCGAAAGAGGGACGACUGAAACUGACUAUUAGAGUGCAGGAACUGGAAGGACCAAGGAGGCUGUCCCAAAGUCUGCCUGAAGAAAUUCAAUGUGAUAUGAGACACAUUCCAUUUGUUCCCCAUGCUGUGUCGAGGUUAGUCCUUAGAUCAGCCGAUAUCUCUGUGGUGUUAGACACUCGGAUGCAGCCUCACCUGAUACGCUUCCACUGCCUCGGGCCCUGGCUGGAGUAAGAAGUGCAAGUUACAAAGUUAAAUCCCUCGUUUCUCCUUAUCAGCAUGAUCUUAGGGGUUUAAGGCGCUAUUGGGGUUUUGUCUACAGCAUGUGUUUGGUGCUGUACUGUGUCCAGGUCUCAUUGAGAAGCUAGUAAAAUGCAAAGGGGUCCAA